GACGAACGCUGGCGGCGUGCCUAAUACAUGCAAGUCGAACGCACGAAGUUGAAGAGCUUGCUCUUUAACCAAGUGAGUGGCGGACGGGUGAGUAACACGUGGGUAACCUGCCCAUUAGAGGGGGAUAACAUUCGGAAACGGAUGCUAAUACCGCAUAGUUUCAGGAAUCGCAUGAUUCUUGAAGGAAAGGUGGCUUCGGCUACCACUAAUGGAUGGACCCGCGGCGUAUUAGCUAGUUGGUGAGGUAAUGGCUCACCAAGGCAAUGAUACGUAGCCGACCUGAGAGGGUGAUCGGCCACACUGGGACUGAGACACGGCCCAGACUCCUACGGGAGGCAGCAGUAGGGAAUCUUCCGCAAUGGACGAAAGUCUGACGGAGCAACGCCGCGUGAGCGAAGAAGGUUUUCGGAUCGUAAAACUCUGUUGUUAAAGAAGAACAAGGAUGAGAGUAACUGCUCAUCCCCUGACGGUAUUUAACCAGAAAGCCACGGCUAACUACGUGCCAGCAGCCGCGGUAAUACGUAGGUGGCAAGCGUUGUCCGGAUUUAUUGGGCGUAAAGCGAGCGCAGGCGGUUCUUUAAGUCUGAUGUGAAAGCCCCCGGCUCAACCGGGGAGGGUCAUUGGAAACUGGAGAACUUGAGUGCAGAAGAGGAGAGUGGAAUUCCACGUGUAGCGGUGAAAUGCGUAGAUAUGUGGAGGAACACCAGUGGCGAAGGCGACUCUCUGGUCUGUAACUGACGCUGAGGCUCGAAAGCGUGGGGAGCAAACAGG
rnacentral:rRNA from 1 species